AACCCAGCAAUGCCCCCCAUAGGGCAGCCCCUGGCCCCUCUAUGGGGCAGCCCCUGACCCCACAAUGGGGCAGCCCCACAAGCCAGCGAUGCCCCCCAUGGGGCAGCCCCAUUGCUAGAGCCGCACAGUCUAUAGGGCAGCCCCCCAACUCCAGCCAUGCCCUCCAUGGGGCAGCCCCCCAACGCUGCUAUGGGGCAGCCCCCAUUGCUAGAUACGCACAGCCUGUGGGGCAGCCCCCUCCCCGCUACGGGGCAGCCCCCUCCCUCUAGGUACGCACAAUCCGUAGGGCAGCCCCUCACCCGCCCCAGCUAUGGGGCAGCCCCCCAACUCCAGCUCUGCACCCCCUGACCCCGCUAUGGGGCAGCCCCCCAACUCCAGCUCUGCACCCCCUGACCCCGCUAUGGGGCAGCCCCCCAACUCCAGCUCUGCACCCCCUGACCCCGCUAUGGGGCAGCCCCCCCCCCAGCUCUCUCCUCCCCGUUCCGGGGCUCAGCCCCUCCAUGGGGGGCCCAGCUCCCCCCUUUGGGGGCUCCCCCCACCCCCCCAGCCUCCAAUAAAGCUUCCGCUGCCCCCCAACCCCCGCCUGGUGUCUUGGGGGGGGCAGGGACCCCCAGGGACCACCCCAGUGACCCCCCCAGCCCCACGGGGCCCCCCAGGGCUCCGCCCCACAGAUCUGGGGGGAGGGCACCGACCCAGGGACCCCCCAGCCCAAACUCUGGGAGUGCCGUGGGGGCUGCACCAGCCCUGCCGGUGAGAGGCAGGAUCGAUACCGGAUCAAUAUCGGAUCAAUACUGGAUCGAUACUGGAUCACUAUCAGGUCAAUGCUGGAUCAGUGCUGGAUCAAUGCUGGAUCAAUGCCAAAUCAAUACUGGAUCAAUGCUGGAUCGAUACCGGAUCAAUACCGGAUCAAUUCUGGAUCAAUGCCAGAUCAAUACUGGAUCAAUGCCGGAUCAAUGCCAGAUCAAUGGUCGAUCAGUGCCUGAUCAAUACCAGAUCAAUAUCGGAUCAAUGCUGGAUCAAUGCUGGAUCGAUGCCGGAUCGAUGCCGGAUCGAUGCCAGAUCGAUAGGACCCAAUGCCAGAUCAAUGCUGGAUCAAUACCAGAUUCACGCCAGAUUGGUGCUGGAUCAAUGCCAGAACCACGCCGAAUCAAUGCCGGAUCAAUGCGGGAUCAGUGCCGGAUCGAUAGGACCCGAUGCCAGAUCGAUACAGAGCUGAUGCCGGAUUGGUGCCGGAUCGAUACAGAGCCAAUGUGGGAUCGAUGCCAGAUCAAUAGGACCCGAUGGCGGAUCAAUAGGACCCAAUGCAGGAUCGAUGCGGGAUCAAUAGGACCCGAUGGCGGAUCAAUAGGACCCAAUGCGGGAUCGAUGCCGGAUCAAUAGGACCCGAUGCUGGAUCGGUGCCGGAUCAAUAGGACCUGAUACCAGAUCAAUGCUGGAUCAAUACAGACCCAAUGCGGGAUCAAUGCCGGAUCAAUAGGACCCGAUGUGGGAUCAAUAGGACCCGAUGUGGGAUCGAUACUGGAUCAAUGCCGGAUCAAUAGGACCCGAUGUGGGAUCGAUACCGGAUCAAUAGGACCCAAUGUGGGAUCGAUACCGGAUCAAUGCCGGAUCAAUAGGACCCGAUGUGGGAUCGAUACCGGAUCAAUGCCGGAUCAAUAGGACCCGAUGUGGGAUCGAUACUGGAUCAAUGCCUGAUCAAUAGGACCCGAUGUGGGAUCGAUGCCGGAUCAAUAGGACCCGAUGUGGGAUCGAUGUGGGAUCAAUAGGACCCGAUGUGGGAUCGAUACUGGAUCAAUGCCUGAUCAAUAGGACCCGAUGUGGGAUCGAUGCCGGAUCAAUAGGACCCGAUGUGGGAUCGAUGUGGGAUCAAUAGGACCCGAUGUAGGAUCGAUACUGGAUCAAUGCCAGAUCAAUAGGACCCGAUGUGGGAUCGAUGCCGGAUCAAUGCCGGAUCAAUAGGACCCGAUGUGGGAUCGAUACCGGAUCAAUGCCGGAUCAAUAGGACCCGAUGUGGGAUCGAUGCCGGAUCAAUAGGACCCAAUGUGGGAUCAAUAGGACCCGAUGCGGGAUCGAUACCGGAUCAAUGCCGGAUCAAUGCCGGCUGUUACAGGAGGGUUCGGAUCCAGGCUUGGGGGCGGAGCCGUUUCGUUCCUUCUGC
ensembl:lncRNA